AAUUCGCCCUUGAGCACGUAGGUGGGUUUGUAAGUCAGGUGUGAAAGCCUUCUGUUCAACGGGAGAAUUGCAUCUGAAACUACGAAUCUUGAGUGUAGGAGGGGAGAAUGGAACUUCUGGUGGAGCGGUGAAAUGCGUAGAUAUCAGAAGGAACGCCGGCGGCGAAAGCGAUUCUCUGGCCUAUUACUGACACUCAGUGUGCGAAAGCUAGGGGAGCAAACGGGAUUAGAUACUCCGGUAGUCCUAGCCGUAAACGAUGGGCACUAAGUAGUGGGAAUUACCGAUGUUCUCUCUGCCGUAGCUAACGCAUUAAGUGCCCCGCCUGGAGAGUACGGCCGCAAGGCUAAAACUCAAAAGAAUUGACGGGGGCUCGCACAAGCGGUGGAGCAUGUGGCUUAAUUCGAUGCAACGCGAAAAACCUUACCGGGGCUUGACAUGUUAGAAGUAGGAACCUGAAAGGGUAACGAACGGUAUCCAGUCCGUAGCUAUCACAGGUGUUGCAUGGCUGUCGUCAGCUCGUGUCGUGAGACGUUGGGUUAAGUCCCCUAACGAGCGAAACCCUUGUUUUUAGUUACCAGCGGGUUGUGCCGGGUACUCUAGAAAGACUGCCGUCGUCAAGACGGAGGAAGGUGGGGAUGACGUCAAGUCAUCAUGGCCCUUAUGCCCCGGGCUGCACACGCGCUACAAUGGUCGGUACAAACGGAAGCGAAGCCGAGAGGUGAAGCGAAUCCAAGGGCGAAUU
rnacentral:rRNA from 1 species